CGGGAGGCAGCAGUGGGGAAUUUUGGACAAUGGGGGCAACCCUGAUCCAGCAAUGCCGCGUGAGUGAAGAAGGCCUUCGGGUUGUAAAGCUCUUUUGUCAGGGAAGAAACGGUCCGGGCUAAUAUCCUGGGCUAAUGACGGUACCUGAAGAAUAAGCACCGGCUAACUACGUGCCAGCAGCCGCGGUAAUACGUAGGGUGCGAGCGUUAAUCGGAAUUACUGGGCGUAAAGCGUGCGCAGGCGGUUGUGCAAGACAGAUGUGAAAUCCCCGGGCUCAGCCUGGGAAUUGCAUUUGUGACUGCACGGCUAGAGUGUGUCAGAGGGGGGUAGAAUUCCACGUGUAGCAGUGAAAUGCGUAGAGAUGUGGAGGAAUACCGAUGGCGAAGGCAGCCCCCUGGGAUAACACUGACGCUCAUGCACGAAAGCGUGGGGAGCAAACAGGAUUAGAUACCCUGGUAGUCCACGCCCUAAACGAUGUCAACUAGUUGUCGGGUCUUAAUUGACUUGGUAACGCAGCUAACGCGUGAAGUUGACCGCCUGGGGAGUACGGUCGCAAGAUUAAAACUCAAAGGAAUUGACGGGGACCCGCACAAGCGGUGGAUGAUGUGGAUUAAUUCGAUGCAACGCGAAAAACCUUACCUACCCUUGACAUGGCAGGAAUCCUGAAGAGAUUUGGGAGUGCUCGAAAGAGAACCUGCACACAGGUGCUGCAUGGCUGUCGUCAGCUCGUGUCGUGAGAUGUUGGGUUGAGUCCCGCAACGAGCGCAACCCUUGUCAUUAGUUGCUACGAAAGGGCACUCUAAUGAGACUGCCGGUGACAAACCGGAGGAAGGUGGGGAUGACGUCAAGUCCUCAUGGCCCUUAUGGGUAGGGCUUCACACGUCAUACAAUGGUACAUACAGAGGGCCGCCAACCCGCGAGGGGGAGCUAAUCCCAGAAAGUGUACCGUAGUCCGGAUUGGAGUCUGCAACUCGACUCCAUGAAGUUGGAAUCGCU
rnacentral:rRNA from 1 species